GACGAACCGUCCAAACGUUAUUCGGAAUCACUGGGCUUACAGAGUUCGUAGGCGGUCUGGAAAGUUGGGUGUGAAAUCCCUCGGCCUAACCGAGGAACUGCGCUUGAAACUACCAGACUCGAGGGAGAUAGAGGAAAGCGGAACUGAUGGUGGAGCGGUGAAAUGCGUUGAGAUCAUGAGGAAGACCAGUGGCGAAGGCGGGUCUCUGGACAGUUCCUGACACUGAGGCACGAAGGCCAGGGGAGCAAACGGG
rnacentral:rRNA from 1 species